GACGAACCGAGCGAACGUUGUUCGGAAUCACUGGGCUUAAAGGGCGCGUAGGCGGGCUGCCAAGUUUGGGGUGAAAUCCUCCGGCUCAACCGGAGCAGUGCCUCGAAUACUGGCGGUCUCGAGGGAGGUAGGGGCGUGCGGAACUGUGGGUGGAGCGGUGAAAUGCGUUGAUAUCCACAGGAACUCCGGUGGCGAAGGCGGCACGCUGGACCUUUUCUGACGCUGAGGCGCGAAAGCUAGGGGAGCGAACGGG
rnacentral:rRNA from 1 species